GUUCUCCAGCACGACGAGCUGAUUCUGUCCCCGGCAGCCCAGGUGAGCUCAAUGUGACGGAGAAACCCACAGCCGCUGGACAGAGACAGUCUCCUUUCUCCUCAGGAAGAAACUGGUGCCUGCUCCACAAUUUGUCAUCACGCUUCACAGCGGAGCACUGAAGAUCUGCCAUUGUGGUUUGUUGUCCUGCUGGGGGAGCUUGAAGAUUACGUCCUGUUGGCUUGAAUGAAGUGAGAUCCACUUCUGUACCCUACAAAGCUUUGGUAUUGCACCAUAACAGUGUCCAACAUGCUGCUGCGUAUCAUUCUCAGUAAAGAUGACAUUCGGAAGAUAAAUAGUUUGCCAGAGACUCUUGAUGAGCUUUAUUCAUUCUUGAAAAGUAAGCUUGGGUUGGAAGGUGACUUGGUGGUCCAAUAUGAAGACAGAGAGUUUGACAAUGAGCUCUGCAACUUGAUGAGCUUAUCUGAUCUUCCUGAGGGGAAGGCAACACUGAAGAUAACUGUCAAGCAGGCCAGUGAGUCAUAUCACACUGAUUCAACAUUGUAUACGGCAAGUUUGUCUUCAUCCUCAUCGGCUUGCGAGGGAAUUUCCCCCCACCAUCGGCCGUGGCCUGAUGCAUUUGAGAUUCCUAGAUUUUCGUAUGAUGUUGAGUUGCAGCUUAAAAGGAGUAAUGAAGCCUACCAAGAGAAUGGAACCUUGCUUAAUAUAAGAAAAGACACUAAAUCUGAGAUACUUGACAGAUUAGUAGAAGCAAUGUACUCAUACACUGCCUACACAACUCAAGAAGAAUAUGACAUUGUUGCACAAAGUCUCAUCAAAAAACAUCCUUGCCUGAGGGAGCCUGGUUCUGCCAGGGGUUGGUACUGCUGGAAAUUCAGCUUAAAAUUCAAAAUGGGAAACUACAGGAACAAGCUCCGUGUGGCAGGAUGCUCUGAACUUCAGGAU